UACCACUUCAACCUGCUGGACGUGUUCUUCGAACUCGUCUUCUUCAGCUGCUUAAUCAACGGCUUGCCGCCUGAAGCUUUGGACGGGGGAUUCUUGCAGCAUGUGUUCGAUAUGAACAGCCAGUGGGACGUGGACAUCAGGGAGCCUGAAGCAGAGCAGCUCUUUUUGCUGCUUUCCUUAAAGCUGACAAUGCUGCUUGAGGAACUUUUCUCGCAGCCUCUGGACCUGUACAGUGACCCAGCAGCUUUAGCCACCGCGGUGCAACGACUGGUGAAGGAGCGUGUGCAGGAGAUGCUGAAGGCCAUGGAGGGAGUCUGAGCAACACCACACUCCUCUGGCGCACACACACACACACACACACACACACACACACACACACACACCUCUGUCCCUGUUUUCUUUCCCUUUCUUUCUCUUUCUCUUCAUUUCACUAUCUCUACAGGUAAGUACUUAUUACGCUGUCUUACUGUGUACACAUUUAAACAUGUCUUUCUUUUCUUCUCUCCCUGAGCAGCUACACAAUACACAACAUCGACGGCCUGGCCUCUAACAACACCACCUGUUAGUUUGCUCUCCGACUGCACAAACACCUGCAGCUCCAACACCAGUAUCCUUCU